CUGGUCUUGGGUCCUCUAAUUCCCUAAAUUUCUGGUCUUCAUAUCUUCUAAAGGUAUUAAAUUACAAAUUAUCUUUAAAAUGAAAUACUAUCGUUUUAUACUCAAUCACAUGCGUACACGUAGGAGUGGAGCGGAUACGCUAUCCGAAAGUCAACAAAAUUUGAAAGUAAUGAGUCCAACAUGGAAAUAAAAACCCUAAUGGAUCAAAGCACCUUUCUUUUACUAUAUAAACAAUCUUCAUGCCAAUUAUGUGGGGUUGUCUUAAAGGGGAGAUUGAUGUGCAUCGACUCGGCGUAAAGGAUCUUCAAGAUUUGAGUUCGGUUAUUGAAAACUAUCCCAAUACUGUUACUAGCAGGAUUAAGAGCCUUAAGAAGAAUGGAUAUGAAUUAACAGAGUUUGGUUCAAUUUCGGAAUCAACAGAGGAUGGUUGAACUCCAGAAUCAUGCUCUUAUUGAAUUUUGUCUAGAUUCCUCAAAAAAUCCAUGAUUUUAAUAUGAAUAUGAUUUCAAACCAAAAUAAGAGUUUUGAUUUGAAGCAAGAUCAUAAAGUUGAAGAGGAUGUGGACACUUUUUCCAUGGAUGGCAGCCACUCUCAAUCCGAAACUAAUCACCUCGCUACUAUCACUACCACUGUCGUUGAUGUUUGUGCUCCUAACAUCACCAAUAAUCUUAAGUCUUAAGAGAAUAUUUUUCCGAGUGAAAAAUUUAAUCAUUUGCAUUUCGUUGUCUUUCAUUUUAAAAGUUAAAAUUCCUAUGUGAUGUUUUUUCUUUCUAGUUUUUUUGUAAUAAUUAAAGGUUUUUUGCCUUUAAAUCCGUUGUUAUGUUAUUUUUGAUUACUAAUUAAGUAAUGUAUUUGCGUGGAAAACU